rnacentral:lncRNA from 1 species
CCAUAUAUCUGUUUCUAAAUUAGAAUGCUAUAGCCUGAAAUGGCUUAAAACAGAGGGAACAAUUCAUAGGGAUGUCAACAUUCUCCCAUCUCCAGUCAGUAUUUAUUGAAACCCCUUUAGUUGCCAGGCACAGGGCUGCGCAGGAGGGGCCCCUGGGAACAAGGCGAACACAGACCUUACCCGUCAACUCUGCCUGGUUCAGUCACUUAGCUGACAGACCUCAUCCUGACACCUGGAAAUGGCCCACCGGACCUAGCCAGCAUUCCUGCACGAAGAUGCUGUACUUCAUUUACGGUGCAAAGCCAGGGAACUGGAUACUCGGAUCAUGUAGUCAGCAAGACGUAAGUACCCGGCGUAUGCUCAGAGCGGGGUCUGGGCUUACUGGCGCUGACCCCGACAGGACAUCUGCCCUUCCCGCUUACGGGCCCCGGAGCGGGCAGCUGGUGACAGACCGCCGGGUCACUGCGGUGUGGUGCCACACUCCCGACACUGGGUCACGGCGCAGAAAUCAGAGCCUGCAAAGAACAGUCGAGGGGAAACCUGAAAACUUAAGCUUGUGGUUUGCAACAGAGGGCCCAGCAUGGACAAUCCAGGAGCCCACCUUUGAAAUAUGCCAGUGUCGUCAGUGUGUGAAGAAAAUUCUAGAGGAGAAGAGAAAACCACUUCAAAUUAUAUGCAUUCGUCGUAAGAAGCGGUCAUGUUCAAUGAACAAAGAAGGAGAAGGGCUCACACAUGGUGACAGCGUUUGUUUUAACCAUUUCACUCAGCCUAGUAAGGAUUCAUUAAAGACAGUCUGCAGCACAUGCUUUAUUCAGGGCAGUGCGCUUUAUGUACCAGCAUUUGCUCGUAAGCAUGUAUAUCACCAUUCUCAGAAGAGCAGAGGGCAAAUGACGUCACUCAGUGCUUUUACUUUUUCUCAAAAAUAAAUGCAUUGGUUUUUUUAAAAAAUCAUUUGAUUCUUAAAAGUAACACAUAUUUCUUGUAUUGGAAAAUACAAAAUAAAUCAGGGCAGGAAAAAGAAAAAAACAUGCUAUAUUGUUUC